CCCUUUGGGUGUGACUGCGUACCUUUUGUAUAAUGGGUCAGCGACUUAUAUUCUGUAGCAAGGUUAACCGAAUAGGGGAGCCGGAGGGAAACCGAGUCUUAACCGGGCGUUAAGUUGCAGGGUAUAGACCCGAAACCCGGUGAUCUAGCCAUGGGCAGGUUGAAGGUUGGGUAACACUAACUGGAGGACCGAACCGACUAAUGUUGAAAAAUUAGCGGAUGACCUGUGGCUGGGGGUGAAAGGCCAAUCAAACCGGGAGAUAGCUGGUUCUCCCCGAAAGCUAUUUAGGUAGCGCCUCGUGAAUUCAUCUCCGGGGGUAGAGCACUGUUUCGGCUAGGGGGCCAUCCCGGCUUACCAACCCGAUGCAAACUGCGAAUACCGGAGAAUGUUAUCACGGGAGACACACGGCGGGUGCUAACGUCCGUCGUGAAGAGGGAAACAACCCAGACCGCCAGCUAAGGUCCCAAAGUCAUGGUUAAGUGGGAAACGAUGUGGGAAGGCCCAGACAGCCAGGAUGUUGGCUUAGAAGCAGCCAUCAUUUAAAGAAAGCGUAAUAGCUCACUGGUCGAGUCGGCCUGCGCGGAAGAUGUAACGGGGCUAAACCAUGCACCGAAGCUGCGGCAGCGACACUGUGUGUUGUUGGGUAGGGGAGCGUUCUGUAAGCCUGCGAAGGUGG
rnacentral:rRNA from 1 species